ACCUCCACUAACAACACCACCCGGAACCAAAACACCGUGGCUGUUGUUUCAACCUGGACCCAGUCCCUCCUGAGAAGACCUGCUGCUGCCGGAAUCCCGUUCUCGACCUCCAAUUGCAAAUUCUAACAAUAAACUUGUUAAACCUUUA